rnacentral:lncRNA from 1 species
UAGCUCAGAGGGGACCCAAUUAGCUACCCAGGGCGCAGGUGAGGAGGUUGCUGCUGGUGUUGGGCAGCUCCGAUGGGGCUACUUCACUUUCUGCCAGAGUUGGGGGUUGAAGCAGCAUGCAGCCCUCCCAGAAGCUGCGCAGAUGCGGGUGCCAUGCUCUUGCACUUUUGUUAUGGUUUGGAUCAGACUUGUCCCCCAGAGGCUCAUGUGUUGAAGGCAUGAUCCCCAAUGCAGCAGUGUCCAGAGGUGGGGCUUUGGGGAAGUGACUGGAUCAUGAGGGCUCUGUCCUCAUCGAUGGUUUUAUCCGUUGAUAAUUGAAUAGACCAAUAAGAGGUGGUGAGGGCUGUGGGAGACGGGGCCUAGUUGAGGGGAGUGGGUCCUUGGGGUCAUGGUCUUGGGGACUUAUUCUUAUCCCUGGCCCCUUUUCCUCCCCCCCCCCCGCCCUUCUGCCUGCCGGUAGUUGACAUCUUUACUCCACCACGUCCUAAUGCCAUGAUGUUCUGCCUCACCUCAGGCCCACAGCAAUGGAGCCUGCUCCCCAAGGACUGAACCCUCUGAAACCGUGAGCCAUCAUAAAUCUCUCCUCCUCUAAGUUGUGUGUGUCAGGUAUUUUGAAAAUGCACAACGUCCCAGCUUCCAGAACCAUAAGCCAAAAUAAUGCCCAGUCUCAGAUAUUCUGUGAUGGCAACAGAAAACAGAUGAAGGCAGUUUAUGCAAGGAGUUAUAUAACCACACUUUGAAUAAGAGCUUUUUUUUUUUUUGCUUUUUUUAACUUCAUACCUUAAGAGUUGAGUUCCUACUGGACCCUUGUGCCCUGGCUGAGGAGGGGGAAGGAGAUGAGGCCUGAAGCCCCACACAGUUCUCUCUUGCCCUUUACUUCCUACUCAGCUGCACUGAGAAGGGAAACAUGAACCCAAGUUAGGACCACACUCCUGCCCUGCUUGGGCUUUGUCCUCUGGGCUUUGUUGGAUUGUUGUGGAUUCAUCUCCUAGGAACCGUCUGACUCCCUCUCUCCUGGGUGUUCCUGCAGCUCAGGGAGUCUCGUUCAUCUCUAAACUCCUGUUUAGAGGAGUUGAGGCACUAACCCAAGUAGAAACAUUGCCCAAUGGAAUUGGUGAAUGGAAGCAUCUCAUCUCAGAGCACCGCAGAUUCCUCAUCUGCAAAUGGAGCAGCUUGGCAAGAACAAACCCAUCUCCAAGACUCAGCACUCAUAAAUUAAUAAGUGAGUGUUCCUAUGUCAAUCCAGUCAGCAAGUGAUCGAUUUUGAACCUUGGCUUCUGAAUAAUACAUCUGGGGUCCUUGGCUUGAAAUUUGGCUUUAUUCUUACUACUGACAUUGAUUUAAAUGACAUUUAUAUUGCAUAGAAAAUGCUCAAAUUAUUACUCCAAUAGGCAAGCAUAAGUCACUGAGAUUGAAAUGUCUUCCAUCUCAGUUGGCCAGCACAUCACCUCCAUGAAAGGUCUCAACAGGGAGAGGAACUCGAUCUCUUUAUACAAUGACAAUCUGGAUCUGCUUGGGAGCGCAGGCACCUCCUCACACCUGGAUGUCAGAGGUUGG